rnacentral:rRNA from 1 species
GACAGAGGGUGCAAACGUUGUUCGGAAUUACUGGGCGUAAAGCGAGUGUAGGCGGUUCGGUAAGUCGGCUGUGAAAGCCCCGGGCUCAACCCGGGAAGUGCACUCGAUACUGCCGAGCUAGAGUAUCGGAGAGGUUGGUGGAAUUCUCGGUGUAGAGGUGAAAUUCGUAGAUAUCGAGAGGAACACCGGUGGCGAAGGCGGCCAACUGGACGAAUACUGACGCUGAGGCUCGAAAGCGUGGGGAGCAAACAGG